GAGAGCGACACGCAUGUCCAUAGGGAAGCAGAGAGAGACACGCAUGUGCAGUAAGGAAGCAGAGAGUGACACGCAUGUCCAUAGGGAAGCAGAGAGUGACACGCAUGUCCAUAGGGAAGCAGAGAGUGACACGCAUGUCCAUAGGGAAGCAGAGAGUGACACGCAUGUCCAUAGGGAAGCAGAGAGUGACACGCAUGUCCAUAGGGAAGCAGAGAGUGACACGCAUGUCCAUAGGGAAGCAGAGAGUGACACGCAUGUCCAUAGGGAAGCAGAGAGUGACACGCAUGUCCAUAGGGAAGCAGAGAGUGACACGCAUCUCCAGUAGGGAAGCAGAGAGUGACACGCAUGUGCAUAAGGAAGCAGAGAGUGACACGCAUGUCCACAGGGAAGCAGAGAGCGACACGCAUGUGCAGUAGGGAAGCAGAGUGAUGAGUCUUUGCUCCACACAUGGUAAACCCAUGUCUACUCCCUCUGUUCUCUCUCUGCUUUUGUUUUCUUUACUUUUUUUUUUUUUUUUGCUUUUUAGGGCCACACUUGAGGUAUAUGGAGGUUCCCAGGCUAGGGGUCUAAUCGGAGCUACAGCUGUUGGCCUGCACCACAGCCACAGCAACGUGGGCUCCUUAACCCACUGAGCGAGGACAGGGAUCGAACGCAGGACCUCAUGGUUACUUGUCAGAUUCAUUUCCACUGCACCCCCAACUCCUGUUUUCGGUCUUGAUGUUUGAAUUUCUCCUGUGGCGAACAAGAUGUUGUCCCAAGACAGUUUUAAGAGUCACCUGGUGCUUAAACCAGAGAAGUGAUACUCCCGAGGAAUUGCUUUUUUUUUUCCUGGACAGUGGCAAGAAGGUAACCUUUAAACAGUAAAUGUUUCCCCCUCCAAUGAAUGUGUGACCUGGGUUUGCUCUAGGUCUUUGGAGAAAAGUCAGACUGCCCUAGAGAAACACUUAUGAAAUUAGCUGUCACCCUAAGAUUGGACACCUUCUCCCUGCCCGUGGCCCCAGGCAGGGGACAGAGAAGGGAUCCCUCCUAGGAGACCUUCUCCUGGUCAGGAAGUGAGGCCGGCGCUCCGGGAUGGGGGCGGGGGGGUGACUCAGUGAGGAGGCAGCGGGUGUGGUUCCUUCCAGACAUGCUCCAGCUGCUCCAAGAGCCGGAAAGACAUGGUCACUUCUUCUUUGUGGGUUUUGCCCGAAUUUGCAAUGUCCCAUUUUUGAGAUAAAACUGGAAUCCUGUUUUUAUCCUGUGCUCUCUGAAGAAUUUCUGUCUCGGGACAUGGUUAGAUCAAUGAAGUUACAUAGUUUUAAGGUUAUUUGUUGCCUUUGCAUCAAGGUAUGUGGUCAGUUGUAGACAGACCUCCGUGGAGUUGAGAGAUUAGGACUCGCUGGACUGAAAGAGCAUGAUCAUUCCAAAGACGCUUGUUUGAAAGUUUGGGUUUUUUUUUCCCCGUUUGUUUUUUGUUUGGGCUUGUUCUCCCCCCGCCCUGUUGAUUUCUAAGCAAGUUUCAGCAUCCUCCGCAAGCUGCCCGCAUCCUUCCGGAAGCAUUCUCACUUUGGACUUGACCUCUGACAUUGCAGGAAACAUGAAUCUCAGAGUGCAUCGCUCAUUCCCAACAUUUCCAAACUAAAAUUGCUUCUUCUCCCAGUUGGCUCGGGGAGUGCCCUGCCUCCCCAAGCCCGGCUCAGACGGUGGGUCUCCAUGCAUGAAUACCUGAAAAAGCCACAUUCUCAUUGGUGCCCGUGGGCCCCGACUGUGGGGAUGACAUAAAAAAUUUUGGCUCCGAAGCACUUUAGCAAAAAAAGAAACAGGCUAGAACAAUGGGCUGAAAAUGAUCUUGGCCUUUCAAGUGCUUUAUCCAACGUUCCAGUGUGAGAACCUGAUCUCCCAGAAAGUACUUCUUUUAUUGCCAACCACAGAGAAUCACUGACAGAACUAAUUAAAGAAUUUGAACCUCGUUCUGUCCUUCGUUAGCUGACCCUCAACCAGGGGCUGGACUCGAAACAAAGACGCUCUGAGCCAACCAGAUAUAGAAUGUGAGCCUCUCGCGGCGGAAGAGGGCUGUGCUCUCAUCCCCCUCUUGGAAAGAGCUACUUGAGCGCAGGAUACUUCUCCCUCUCUUUUUUCUUUUUCUUUUUUUUUACAAUGGAAAACGCGUUGGGUUGCCAUCAGAAAUAAUGAAGUUUGAAGUUCCUGAAAGUUAUUCACUUAUUGGACUCGACUUUCCACCCUUUUCUUGAAUUCCAGGAGCCAGGUCAAGACAGUGAGUUCUCAUGGAAAAUUAAGUGCUUUUGCAAAGGUGCUUAAAGAAAAAUGCUUGUUUCAGGUUUCAGACUCUCAAGGGGAUGAUGGUCAUUGAUUCCAGGCUUGAGACAACGAUAAAGACUUCCAGAUAUGAAUGGACUUCGGUGGAGUCUGGCCGGUUUACCCGAAAAUCUGCCCCUCCCCCGAGUCUGGUCCUAUCCUGGAUAUUCACCCUUCUUGUUCUUUUCCUCCCUACAUUUUAAGAUCGCACAACUUGGCAGUCGUCGUCACGGUCACAUGGAAUGACAUUUAUUGACUGAGUAUCUUGGCUGAUUGAAGAAUGACUAUUUUAAGAUUGUGGCAUGACUUCUUAGAGUUACAUAAUUAUCCACUGACGUGAAGGACCCACCAGGACAUACAUCUUUAUUAGUUUUUUGGUCAGCUGGCAUACAGUGGAAGAAGAAGAGCCUCAGGGAAGCUCCUGGGGAAAACUAUUAUUUUAUUCAUCUGGAAAAAUAUCAGGCUUAGAGAUUCAUAAUUUAUUUUUAUUUUUAUUUUUUUGUCUUUUUGCCUUUUCUUGAGCCGCUCCCGCGGCAUAUGGAGGUUCCCAGGUAGGGGUCGAAUCAGAGCUGUAGUCGCCAGCCUACACCACAGCACCGUGGGAUCCGAGCCAUGUCUGCAACCUACACCACAGCUCAAUCAACGCCGGAUCCUUUACCCACUGAGCAAGGCCAGGGAUCGAACCUGCAACCUCAUGGUUCCCAGUUGGAUUCGUUAACCACUGCGCCAGGACGGGAACUCCUCAUAAUUUAUUUUUAAAAUUAGAAAGCAGGAACACAAAUACUAUUUCAUUUUCAAAUGUUUGUUUUUUGUUUUAACCCUGGUAACAAUAAGGGGGGAGAUUUGGGCACAAAAAUCUUCACAUAAAAAUAAAGGGCGGAUCUCCUGUCUGGAGUAGUCCCACCCAACUUGCCCUCACCCUGCACAUCCGGCCGCCCCAUCCGGUUUCAUCAAUGGAGACUGAAAAGGUGUUUCUAAAAGCAUCUGACAUCAAGUCAAGGUCCCCUUAAUCCAGAAUAAGCUAGAACCCACAAGAGCGACUAACUGCAAACAAAGGUCAACUGCAGCCUGUGCUCAGAAUGGGGCUCCUGAGCUCGCUCCUCUAGGGAGCCCGGCCCGAGAGCUCGGCUCCUGCUGUGUGCGCGCCUCAAGAGGUCGCCCAGGAAGCAGAUGCAGGCUUUGGCAUGUCCGCUAAUCCCUCACUCUGGAGACCUAGGCUUCCACGCCAGACAGAUUCUCUUGCAAAUGGCCACAUACUUGACUUUGAACUUUUAGUGAGAGGUUGAAUGUGGGGUGGCCCAUGAGUGAAACUCAACUAUGCAAUCCCAGAAGUAGGCAAAAAGUACGGGGAAGAAAAGGGAAAUUAACAUUCUCGGAUUAUUUGACCAGGAGAGCACAAAAAUUGCUUCUGUGACAAUGGGAUCUUGAAGGCAUUGCAAUGGAGCCCAAGGAGAAUGAAAGAGCCGCAUGUACUUUGUGAGAUCUCUCUGUUCAGUUGUGCUGUGUAGAAUCCACUAUUUUCUCCUCCCUUAAGAAAAUCUUGGGUGUGUUCCAUAACUUCCUGGUCACAUUUGGUAAUUAAAACUUAGUGUGGCUU
rnacentral:lncRNA from 1 species